ACGCUGGCGGCAGGCCUAACACACGCAAGUCGAGCGGUAGAGAGAAGCUUGCUUCUCUUGAGAGCGGCGGACGGGUGAGUAAUGCCUAGGAAUCUGCCUGGUAGUGGGGGAUAACGUUCGGAAACGGACGCUAAUACCGCAUACGUCCUACGGGAGAAAGCAGGGGACCUUCGGGCCUUGCGCUAUCAGAUGAGCCUAGGUCGGAUUAGCUAGUUGGUGAGGUAAUGGCUCACCAAGGCAACGAUCCGUAACUGGUCUGAGAGGAUGAUCAGUCACACUGGAACUGAGACACGGUCCAGACUCCUACGGGAGGCAGCAGUGGGGAAUAUUGGACAAUGGGCGAAAGCCUGAUCCAGCCAUGCCGCGUGUGUGAAGAAGGUCUUCGGAUUGUAAAGCACUUUAGGUUGGGAGGAAGGGCAUUAACCUAACACGUUAGUGUUUUGACGUUACCGACAGAAUAAGCACCGGCUAACUCUGUGCCAGCAGCCGCGGUAAUACAGAGGGUGCAAGCGUUAAUCGGAAUUACUGGGCGUAAAGCGCGCGUAGGUGGUUUGUUAAGUUGGAUGUGAAAUCCCCGGGCUCAACCUGGGAACUGCAUUCAAAACUGACUGACUAGAGUAUGGUAGAGGGUGGUGGAAUUUCCUGUGUAGCGGUGAAAUGCGUAGAUAUAGGAAGGAACACCAGUGGCGAAGGCGACCACCUGGACUAGUACUGACACUGAGGUGCGAAAGCGUGGGGAGCAAAC
rnacentral:rRNA from 1 species